ACUUCCCGCAAGGGACCUGUGUAGAGGUGCUGCAUGGCUGUCGUCAGCUCGUGCCGUGAGGUGUUGGGUUAAGUCCCGCAACGAGCGCAACCCUUACUCAUAGUUGCUACCCGCAAGGGAGAACUCUAUGAGGACUGCUCCGGAUAACGGAGAGGAAGGUGGGGAUGAGGUCAAGUCAGCAUGGCCUUUAUGUCCAGGGCUACACACGUGUUACAAUGCGCGCCACAAAGUGUCGCGAACCCGCGAGGGGGAGCUAAUCGCAAAAAAGCGCGCUCAGUUCGGAUUGCAGUCUGCAACUCGACUGCAUGAAGCCGGAAUCGCUAGUAAUGGCGUAUCAGAUCGACGCCGUGAAUACGUUCCCGGGCCUUGUACACACCGCCCGUCACAUCACGAAAGUGGGUUGUACUAGAAGUCGUCGUGCCAACCGCAAGGGGGCAGAUGCCCAAGGUAUGACUCAUGAUUGGGGUGAAGUCGUAACAAGGUAACCGUAA
rnacentral:rRNA from 1 species